rnacentral:lncRNA from 1 species
CGGAGAUCGGAGCUCCUUGUCUCCACCUUCGAGUUGGCAACCUGAGACCGGUAGCAACCUGUUCGUCCCGGAUUUUUCCAUGACGUCACUAAAUCAGGUUCGGACGUGCAGAUCAGGUACAUACCUGUACCAAAACCUGGCUAUAAAACGUAGCGCGGACCGGGUCGACCAGUCAGUGCCUUCCUUCCUGCGUUCGUGUGUGCGUCUCAGUGCUCUGCGACUUUGUGACCCCAGUGCCUUUUUGGAAAUUCCCAAGUGGUUCAUCGUGUGUGUACCUUAUCACUUACGGACUGUGAAUCGCUCCCUAUUCUAUUUCGGAUCUGUGUGCUUGUUUUCUGCUAGUGUUGUGCAGUUUUACCCAGGAUACAAACCUAGUGGGAUUUUUUCCUUUACGGACGCUUGUCGCAUUGACGACUUUUCCUUGGAUUUUGCGGAGACCCGACUAGGCGAAUCAAUCCAUUCAUCCAUCCAUCCUCCGGUCCCUGUGGAAUUUUUCUUGGAAAAUCAACCUUUGGAAUAAGUAAGUAAACAAACACAUUUUUAUUUAAUAAAAAUAUUUAAUCAUUUUAAAAAUAAUAAAAAAAAUACACGUUAAUUUAAAAAAUAAUAAAAAAAUACACGUUAAUUUACAGAUACAGAAAAAUAAAAAAUAAAAAAUAAAAAUUUCUCUCUAAUUUAAAGCUGCCACAGCUAUUUGGCUAUCGCAUGGCGUCAUUUUCAGAUGAUUCAUCUGAUGACAAUGAGAAAUCUGAUAUGACCAUGGGUGGAGAAGCGUGGUCGUCUGGUCCUAUUUCGAUAAUUUCCUCAUCCGUGGAGUCGUCGAUUGGAAUGUCCCUGUACGGGACAGGUGGAAGCCCGAGGUAAUGUCCGAUUGUGCUUCGAAGCGAUCCGAUUAAAGCAUCAUAUAAACGUCUGAAUAGACGUCUGAUCAGAUUAUGGUAUAAACGAUCGUACAACCUUUUUUCUAGUCUGGAAAUAGAGAGAAAGGAAAAAUCGUUAUGCCAGAGCUUUC